rnacentral:lncRNA from 1 species
ACAGUUAGUAAUAGUAACAUGACAACUACAUAGUGAGCUUAUUUUCUUGCAAAGCUAGCUAAUAGACAUUGUUGGAGAAAAAAGAAAGGUGAAAAAAACUUAGGGCUUUUCAGUAAAUAAGGUAAGGAGGAUGAAGUUUCUUUUGGGAAUUCAUAUUUAUUUCAUCAUUUUAGGGCCCAAAAUUUACCUGGCCCAGACUACUAGGAGCCCAAUAAAAGCAGACCCAAACCCAAAAAAUAAAACCUUACCCAAAACCCUAAAUACCCAUUUACAAAUGGCCUAAUUGGCCCACAAACACAACAGGGAAACCCUAGCAGCCCUUUUGUGUCAUUUCAGCAAACCGACGCAGUCCCUCCUCCGCACGUCACUCACCUCCUCCGUGUUAUAUGCCACUCCAUGUCCACGUCAGAGGCGUACUCGCCUACGAACCUGCAAACAAGCAACAAACGGUUGUAAAUAUUGGCUAUAAAGCUAAAUCAAAGCAAUGUAAAAAGAGACUUUUUUUUUUGCCCAUUAUAUAAGUACAAUAGCAGAAAUUAUACAGGGAGAAAAUCAAUAGUAAAUAAAAAAUCGGGUCUAAGGUUUGAAAGGUGAUUUUUCAUUCUUCUUCCUGAAACUUUCUUUUGAUUCGUAUUUCCUUUUUUUUGUUUUUUUAUAAACUGAUUUUAAGUAAAAAGAAAGAAAGGGGGGCUUACCUAGUCUUGCUCCGUGAACCGGCGGUGGGGUGGAGGUGCGUGGCACCGAUGAUCCUCCAAGGUGGCGCAAGGCUAGGUUGAAAUUCUAGCAAAAAGGGAGAGGGAGCAGGGAAGAAGAAGCAUUCUGUUUCUUUUUGAAAAAAAAAACAAUAGAAAAA